rnacentral:rRNA from 1 species
CAGUCGCCGCGGGAAAACGGAGGGGGCUAGCGUUGUUCGGAAUUACUGGGCGUAAAGCGCACGUAGGCGGCUUGGUAAGUUAGAGGUGAAAGCCCGGAGCUCAACUCCGGAAUUGCCUUUAAGACUGCCGAGCUAGUAGGUGAGAGAGGUAAGCGGAAUUCCGAGUGUAGAGGUGAAAUUCGUAGAUAUUCGGAAGAACACCAGUGGCGAAGGCGGCUUACUGGCUCAUUCUAGACGCUGAGGUGCGAAAGCGUGGGGAGCAAACAGGAUUAGAUACCCGUGUAGUCCCUGUCUCUUAUAC